AUUGAACGCUGGCGGCAUGCUUUACACAUGCAAGUCGAACGGUAACAGGGAGCUUGCUCCGCUGACGAGUGGCGAACGGGUGAGUAAUGCGUCGGAACGUGCCGAGUAGUGGGGGAUAACGCAUCGAAAGGUGUGCUAAUACCGCAUACGAACUGAGGUUGAAAGUGGGGGACCUUCGGGCCUCACGCUAUUCGAGCGGCCGACGUCUGAUUAGCGAGUUGGUGAGGUAAAGGCUCACCAAGGCGACGAUCAGUAGCGGGUCUGAGAGGAUGAUCCGCCACACUGGGACUGAGACACGGCCCAGACUCCUACGGGAGGCAGCAGUGGGGAAUUUUGGACAAUGGGCGCAAGCCUGAUCCAGCCAUGCCGCGUGUCUGAAGAAGGCCUUCGGGUUGUAAAGGACUUUUGUCCGGGAGCAAAUGCUGGUGGCUAACAUCCACCGGAGCUGAGAGUACCGGAAGAAUAAGCACCGGCUAACUACGUGCCAGCCGCCGCGGUAAAAC
rnacentral:rRNA from 1 species